UACACGCUCCUUAGAUCCACCUUUGGGACUUGUCUGUUGACUUCUGCUGGUAGAUCUCAGAGCACUUCGGUGAUGGGGUCGCCAGUACUGGUGACAGAUUAUGAUCAGCAACUUUUCUGGUUGUACAAUCAGAGGUGCUUGAGUCAUUGGCGUGUGAGAGUAAUAUACCUGCCUAUUAGCCUGUAAUGUUGUGAUGUGAACGGCCUGUGCUGUUUCUACCAUCAGAACUCGGCUGGUUUGCGGACAUU
ensembl:snoRNA